rnacentral:rRNA from 1 species
UACGAAGGGGGCUAGCGUUGCUCGGAAUCACUGGGCGUAAAGCGCACGUAGGCGGAUCUUUAAGUCAGGGGUGAAAUCCCAAGGCUCAACCUUGGAACUGCCUUUGAUACUGGGGAUCUCGAGUCCGGAAGAGGUGAGUGGAACUGCGAGUGUAGAGGUGAAAUCGUAGAUAUUCGCAAGAACACCAGUGGCGAAGGCGGCUCACUGGUCCGGUACUGACGCUGAGGUGCGAAAGCGGUGGGGAGCAAACAGGG